AAUGAACGCUGGCGGCAGGCCUAACACAUGCAAGUCGAACGGCCACACGAUGCGCUUUCUCCUUUCCCUUUCGCGUCUGGCGGGUGUGUGACACGUCUAUAACAUUCCUCUAUGUCUUGGGUUACUUCGUGGAACCGGUGCCAAUACCCGCUUAUAUUUUCAACCGCAUAGUUCAGUAGUUCAUGGCAUCUUUCCUGUCUCUUUUAGCUGAUUCCGCGCCGGAUUAGCUAGUUGGUAAGGUCACGGCUUACCAAGGCGACGAUGCGUAGCUGAGCUGAGAGGAUGAUCAGCCACACUGGAACUGAGACACGGUCCAGACUCCUACGGGAGGCAGCAGUAGGGAAUAUUGCACAAUGGGCGAAAGCCUGAUGCAGCAAUGCCGCGUGAGUGAAGAAGGCCUUCGGGUUGUAAAGCACUUUUAUUGGGGAAGAAAAGAGGAAAGUGAAAACCUGUACGUAUUGACGGUACCCAAAGAAAAAGCAACGGCUAACUACGUG
rnacentral:rRNA from 1 species